rnacentral:rRNA from 1 species
CCUACGGGAGGCUGCAGUGGGGGAUAUUGCACAAUGGGGGGAACCCUGAUGCAGCGACGCCGCGUGGGUGAAGAAGCGCCUCGGCGCGUAAAGCCCUGUCAGCAGGGAAGAAAAUGACGGUACUUGAAGAAGAAGCCCCGGCUAACUACGUGCCAGCAGCCGCGGCAAUACGUAGGGGGCAAGCGUUAUCCGGAUUUACUGGGUGUAAAGGGGGCGCAGACGGCGAUGCAAGCCAGGAGUGAAAGCCCGGGGCCCAACCCCGGGACUGCUCUUGGAACUGCGUGGCUGGAGUGCAGGAGGGGCAGGCGGAAUUCCUGGUGUAGCGGUGAAAUGCGUAGAUAUCACGCAGAACCCCGAUUGCGAAGGCAGCUUACUAGACUGCCACUGACAUUGAUGCUCGAAAGUGUGGGUAUCAAACAGGAGUAGAUACCCUAGUAGUC